GAAACUGAGGAUAAUACUGGAUAGGCAAUUAUUCCUGUAAUGGUUUUUUGUUUAAAUGUUUUUUCGCCUAAGGAUGGGUCUGCGGCCGAUUAGGUAGUUGGUUAGGUAAUGGCUUACCAAGCCGUUGAUCGGUACGGGUUGUGGGAGCAAGAGCCCGGAGAUGGAACCUGAGACAAGGUUCCAGGCCCUACGGGGUGCAGCAGGCGCGAAACCUCCGCAAUGUGAGAAAUCGCGACGGGGGGAUCCCAAGUGCCAUUCUUAACGGGAUGGCUUUUCAUUAGUGUAAAGAGCUUUUGGAAUAAGAGCUGGGCAGGACCGGUGCCAGCCGCCGCGGUAACACCGGCAGCUCUAGUGGUAACAAUUUUUAUUGGGCCUAAAGCGUCCGUAGCCGGUUUAAUAAGUCUCUGGUGAAAUCCUGUAGCUUAACUGUGGGAAUUGCUGGAGAUACUAUUAGACUUGAGACCGGGAGAGGUUAGAGGUACUCCCAGGGUAGAGGUGAAAUUCUGUAAUCCUGGGAGGACCGCCUGUUGCGAAGGCGUCUAACUGGAACGGUUCUGACGGUGAGGGACGAAAGUUAGGGGCGCGAACCGGAUUAGAUACCCGGGUAGUCCUAACUGUAAACGAUGCGGACUUGGUGUUGGGGUGGCUUUGAGCUGCUUCAGUGCCGAAGGGAAGCUGUUAAGUCCGCCGCCUGGGAAGUACGGUCGCAAGACUGAAACUUA
rnacentral:rRNA from 1 species